GAAAAGAAACCAACAGGGAUUGCCCUAGUAACGGCGAGUGAAGCGGCAACAGCUCAAAUUUGAAAUCUGGCUCUUUUAGAGUCCGAGUUGUAAUUUGCAGAGGGCGCUUUGGCUUUGGCAGCGGUCCAAGUUCCUUGGAACAGGACGUCACAGAGGGUGAGAAUCCCGUACGUGGUCGCUGGCUAUUGCCGUGUAAAGCCCCUUCGACGAGUCGAGUUGUUUGGGAAUGCAGCUCUAAAUGGGAGGUACAUUUCUUCUAAAGCUAAAUAUUGGCCAGAGACCGAUAGCGCACAAGUAGAGUGAUCGAAAGAUGAAAAGCACUUUGGAAAGAGAGUCAAACAGCACGUGAAAUUGUUGAAAGGGAAGCGCUUGCAGCCAGACUUGCUUACAGUUGCUCAUCCGGGUUUCUACCCGGUGCACUCUUCUGUAGGCAGGCCAGCAUCAGUUUGGGCGGUAGGAUAAAGGUCUCUGUCACGUACCUCCUUUCGGGGAGGCCUUAUAGGGGAGACGACAUACUACCAGCCUGGACUGAGGUCCGCGCAUCUGCUAGGAUGCUGGCGUAA
rnacentral:rRNA from 1 species